GGGUAUGACAAAUGAUUCCCUGUGUGUCCAUCAUCAGGCCAAUCUAUGGAAGCAUAUCACAAAAUCUGUAAUCAGCAGCAGCUUUUGCUGCUGAAACAAGUAUCGCACGCCAGGGGGCGCACAUCGACCAGGAUGAAGACCUUGGUAGUCCAAAAGGACCAUGGAUCAAGAGGAGCCAACUGACAUGGUGCAGGCCUUUGCUGAGGUUCCCCCCUGUACCACUCCUGCUGGAGGUCUACUGGACACCUUGCACUGGGAAGAGACCCCAGGGCAGACCCAGGACAUGCUGGAGGAAUUACAUUAUUCGGCUGGCCUGGGACUGCCUAGGAGUGCUCUAGAAAGAGCUGGAGAUUGUUCCCUGGGAAAGGGAAGUCUAGUCUACUCUGCUUAGCCUGUUACCACUGCAACCCUCAAAAGGAGAAAGAAGUUAGAAAAUUAUGAUGAAUAUAAUUUUACAGUUGCAAAUAAUAGGAAACAAAAUGGAUGAUACUAGCAAUUUAUUUAAAUUUAAUUGUUAUGCUUGAUUACACUUACAUAGUGCUUUUGAACCCAAGGGGUCCUAAAACACUUUACUCAUACAAGGGAAAUCAUAUAUUCCACCUCUGAAGUGGAGCAGCCAUUAUACACAAGGAGCACUGUGCUUUGCCAAUUGCACUAAAGAGCAGCUUUAGACAGGUAAGACCGAACCAGCCCAAAGCAGAAACAACUACUUUUUAUCAAAAAGUGCCAAGGGAUUCCAAAUGGCCAAGUAGUCAAGACCUCAGUUUAAUAUCUUUUCUAAAAGACAGUAAGUACAGAGCAGUUCUCAAAAUCACCAUACUUUUAAAUAUGGUACCACCAUAUUCUGUUCCACAGGGAAGAGUACCACCUACUGGUCCACCCUUGUAGCAGCAACUAGGAUGCUCUUGUCUCUCACCCAAGUACUGAUAAGGCUCAGCUUUGCUUAGCUUCCAAGAGCUGGUAAGAUCAAGGUGGCAAGGUUGUUCCGCUGGAACCAAGGAGCCAUUACUACAGGAAAUGUAGCAACAAUUCCAUUAAAAACCCUUUCUGAAAAGUGCAGUCAGAGCAGAAGACUUGGAAAGGAAUGAGAGCAAAAUUAAACAGUUUGUUAAUUUUACACCAGGCAAAAAUCUCAGCUAUCACUGGGUGGCUUUUCCCCAAACAAAUUAGUUUUCUGUGAAGUCUUCCUGGCAAUAAUUUGUGAGUAGGUUCUCAGCUGUCCUUUCACUCAGCAGGACAGAUGACACUGCAAGCAGAAACUCAAUAGCAGGGUAAACUAUCUAUGUUACACACAAAGCACUGUAUGCACAAAGCGUAAUUCAUAGCUCAGACAUUACCCACAUACAUUUGUCUAUGUAUCCAUGUCUAGUUUAACAGUUAACGAUGGGAAUAGUCUAAGGGGCAGAGUUUGCAAACCUUUUUUAAGGCUCUUUAUUACUUUAUUUGGAAACAAUUAUUGCUUUGUUUUUUAUAACC